rnacentral:rRNA from 1 species
UACGUAGGGUGCAAGCGUUAAUCGGAAUCACUGGGCGUAAAGGGCGCGUAGGCGGGAUGGCAAGUCAGUCGUGAAAUCUCUCGGCUCAACCGAGAAACGUCGGCUGAUACUGCCGUUCUUGAGGGAUGCAGAGGAGAAUGGAAUUCCCGGUGUAGCGGUGAAAUGCGCAGAUAUCGGGAGGAACACCGGUGGCGAAGGCGGUUCUCUGGGCCUGACCUGACGCUGAGGAGCGAAAGCGUGGGGAGCGAACAGG